rnacentral:lncRNA from 1 species
UACAUAUGUAAAAAGAUUGACGAAUCCAUCGAGUAACUGCCUAAAAAAGGUAGUAAAACUGGAAGAUAAAUGGAAAACUGAAGCUAUAAAGUGUUUUGGAAUUGCUGAAACAAUCGGUAGAACAUUUGCUGACGUAGUCGUUCGUCUGCAGGAAGACAAUUCCAGUGUGUAUCUAAAAGGGAGAGAUAUCACUAUUAACAAAGCAGAAAAAGAAGUACAUAAGUUGUUGUCAGCUUUGUUUAACAAGACGUUACACUUUGACCCACUGAUACUGAAACUGUUGAUGUGUAAAGAGGCUUCCGAACUUUUCAAAACGACUCUUCAAAAGAAACAGCUCCAAGUCGUUUCGUCAAUUGAUAGUACUCAUCUCUAUCUUUUUAGUAAAACAAAAAUCAACACAGAUGCUGUUAAAGCAGUUGUUUACGAAAACUUUUUGGCCACAGGGUUUUCAAAAACAUCUCAAAAUGAAAAUAACUUUUGCAAAAGCAAUAUCUUUGUUGAUAUAACAAAGAAACAAGACAACAAGUUGCUAUUCCUUGAGACAACCAAGUCAAGUAUAAAUAUUGCUGGCAACUAAGAG